UCUGGUUUCACUUAGAUUCUUUCUCUUGGUGGAAGAUGACCUGGAAAAAAGUAGAUAACUCUGUCACCAAAACAGAAAACACAACAUAAGGUCAAAAAAAGAACUCUUUUUUCUUCCAGUCUUUCACCUUUCGUUUGUCCUAUUUUUUGUUUGAUCUUGGUCAGUAAUAGAUUCUUUGGUAUUACUUGAGCUCAAGUUUCCUGUAACUCAAAUAGAAUUGUAAUGAGCAAAAACAUAAGUAAGAAUGUCUCUGCUAGAUGUAGGAGUAUUCAGGUCCAAGUACUAAAGUUUUUACCUGUCAUUUGACUAAACCUUAUUCCUUGAGAAUGUACAUUGGUAGUCACUUUCCUUGCUUUGCUGUUCAUAAAUAAGUGUCUUUAAGUCAGUAAUGAUUAUUCACAAUGACGAUAACCAAUAUGCAAGUCAAUAAUUUUUAAAAUUUAGAGCUAUGGCACUACUAAGUACUUUGAACAAACCUUAAUGCCUUUUUCAAUCCAUCAACGGACAGUAAUUUCAACGGUGCUGCAGACUUUGUAAAGUUUGUCUUGUCAGCUAAAGGCUUAACCAUGUAAAUUCCUUCUGACUUGAGAUUGUCUCUGAAACCCGUUCGUAGGUUCCUGAAUUUGAAGUCCAACAACAAUUAGAGAGUUAAAGUAAAUCCUAAGAAAAAAAAUCCUUUGUUAUACAAGUAAAUGCAACAUUGAGAGGUUGAGAAGUUAAUAACUCACCCCCCUUUGAGUUCAGCCCUUGUUGUACUGGAGUAUUUCUCAGAUGUUCUCUGAAAGAACAAGUGAUAAAAACAGGAUAAGUUCUUUAUCUCUUUCUUUGGAUAGUAAAAAAGACUCAGCCAAAGACAAUACCCGGGGGGAGGGGAGGGGGGCAAGCAGACUUAAUUUACAAAUGUAAACAACGUAUUUUUGCACUGGUGUAGAUUGGUUACCUGCUUAUGGUAGCUGCAAUAUGUUCCACGCUUCCUGCAAAUGUUAUUAAAAUACAAGUUCUAUUACAAGGAGUACACUAAAAUUACAGGUUAUUACUAAUCUAUUCAACAUAGGAUGAUACAUACAAUAAUUUUUGGUAAGAAGGAUUGCGAAAAAUCCCUGCAUAAGCAAUAUGAACUGAUUUGUUAAGGGAGCAGAAACCUAAAUGCUGUAAGAACAUGCUAUUUCUUUCCUAACGUCCAGAAAAAAUGCAAAUCAUGCUCAUGAAAUUUGCAUAAAUAGCUCUGGACUGUGUUUUUGAUUUGAAUGUGAGUAUCUCCCUUUUAGGAUAAGCUUUUUAUUUCUGUACACAAUUUAACCAACCAAAGACAGUAGCAAUUUUAUAUGCAUGAUUAGCUUCUUUUACAAGAUUAAAAUUUAGAUUCUUGCACUCUUGCCUUGUGAAGGACUACAACAUAGAUAUGAGACAUUGUUAAACUGAACAUUCUGUUCUGAGUACUGGCAGAAUGGAUUAGCAAAAGUAUCUGUUCAACCCAAAUCGAAAAGCACAAACUAUCAUUGUUGAAGCAAAUCAAAACCAACAAACAUGAAUGAUAUCAGAUGAUAGGCUAUAAUUACGUAUUUUAGUCAUUUAUUACACUCUAAUUUACUGCACUUUAGUUGAGUUUGCGCUUCAAUCGCUAUUGUUUUACACUAACAGUAUGUUUUAUGCUUUGUAGGAGUGAUUCCGAGCAAUAUAGAUGUUAUAGAAUGAAAUUAAGUGAUAUUGAGCUGUGAAGUCUGAGUAAGAGCUCAAGAAAUUAAUCCGGGAUCGGGUUCAGGGGUCACAUUUGAUAAUUAAGUACGAACGACGACUCGAGGAGGCAUAUUAUGCACUGUCUAGUAAAAUAGACAUAAUUUUUAGCUCAUAACUCCAUUUGGGCUCCAUAAUAUAUGGUUGGAAAGCUAACUCAAAGGGCUACAACUUUAAUGUUUAACGUUUUUCCAAAUUCCAAACGGAACAGGGUGAAAAUGCGGUAUAAAGUGCACCGCGCACUGCGUUGCGGUUUGAGGCAGUACCUUCCGCAGUCGUCACCGCAGUCCACGCCGCGGCCGCAGCAGUCCAGACGUGAAAUAUUGUCCUUUUUUACGCAGGAGAAGAUAUAAUUAUUUGGGUCCGACCCUACUUGGUAUAUAUACAUGGAAAAACGAUAUUUUUGAGAAGUUGGACAUAUGUUUGAUACAUAUUUGACCUAAUGAGACAUAGACACAAUAAGAGCAAGGCGGGGAAUUCUUCAACAAGGUUUUCCUUCCUCUUCUUAUUUUUCAUUGUUGG
rnacentral:lncRNA from 1 species